AAUAGAUACCCUGGUAGUCCACGCCGUAAACGAUGAAUGCUAGGUGUUAGGGGUUUCGAUACCCUUGGUGCCGAAGUUAACACAUUAAGCAUUCCGCCUGGGGAGUACGGCCGCAAGGCUGAAACUCAAAGGAAUUGACGGGGGACCCGCACAAGCAGUGGAGUAUGUGGUUUAAUUCGAAGCAACGCGAAGAACCUUACCAGGUCUUGACAUCCCCCUGACCGGUACAGAGAUGUACCUUUCCUUCGGGACAGGGGUAGACAGGUGGUGCAUGGUUGUCGUCAGCUCGUGUCGUGAGAUGUUGGGUUAAGUCCCGCAACGAGCGCAACCCUUGACUUUAGUUGCCAGCAGGUAAGGCUGGGCACUCUAGAGUGACUGCCGGUGACAAACCGGAGGAAGUGGGGAUGACGUCAAAUCAUCAUGCCCCUUAUGACCUGGGCUACACACGUACUACAAUGGCCGGUACAACGGGAAGCGAAGGAGCGAUCUGGAGCGAAUCCUUUAAACGCCGGUACUCAGUUCGGAUUGCUAGGCUGCAACUCGCCUGC
rnacentral:rRNA from 1 species